GUGACCUUUCCGAGCUGUGGCCAAGUACCCACCGUUCGGGGGCCGCUCAGGAGCUUGGCUGGCCGCGGGGCGCCCCCGCCGGCCGCGGCCGCCACGGCAGCCACCUUCGCUUGCGUCACCAGGUGACAACCCCGGUCCGGCAAACAGGCUGUUCCAGUGUCCUCUUCGCUCCGCAUGGUCACUAACGAUUGCAGCAUAUGUGCCGGUGCUGCUAUUGUGAAAUCGCUGUGGAACGAGGAUGAGGAGGAGGAGGAAGAGGAGGAAAGAUCGCUACCAGCUGCCUUGUGGGGAGAGCUACCGCUGCCCUUCUUCCCUCAUAGCUCAUCCCCUGUCUUUGGCACACUGAGAUUUGGGAAUGAUUUGUCCUGUUGUAAAGCUCCUUGUCAUGGCUCUCGUAUGGGAGCUGCAAUUCUCACGUCUCCUUCUGCCUCAUCGUCUGGUCCCAGCCUACUUUACAAGCCUGCCAAUGUUUUUCCUCCAACCACAACCCUACAGCAGGCCCGAACAAGCUUUAAGGUAUAACUCUUAGGGGAAUGUUUGCAAAGGCCACCUUCAACUUAAUA
rnacentral:lncRNA from 1 species